AAUCCUUUCUACCAACAAGAAUGAUACAGCUGUCAUUUGUCCUGCCCUUACAUGUGCAACAGAGCUAACAAAAGGCUCAGGAAUAUGUCAGUCAAUCAGUCUAUACACACCCACACAGUCUUGGGAAUAGGUCUAAUCAGCCAGAUUCACUGAAAACACCUGUAUGGGGGUUCAGGGUAGGCUGCAGCGCUACUCUGGAUUCUCUCUGCCUGCCUUUCGGGGAAAGUGGGCUUGAAGAAGUGGUUUGUGGUGAAAGGAAGCGACUGAGUGUGCUGCGUGUCGAUGUCCUGCGAUGAAGAGUGCAGUUUUCUUUGGGCAAAGUGGAGUGCAGAAAUACUGGAGGUUCAGUAGCCCACCAAGCGCAGAUGUUGCCAGUGUAACUAAUCAACCGAGGAGCUGCCAAUCUGCUGACGACCCUCUGCCACACCCACCUGCACUAUACUGCAAGGUGUCCACUGAGGCGUUAUCAAACGACCAAUAUAAAGGAUAUAGAGGAGGAAAGACAAAUGCCCUGUUGUCCUGCGAACAAUGUUCGACGAGCCACUGACUGAACUCUGGCUGGCCUUUUUCCAUGGAAACCUGAUCAUAUUCAGUGACACGAUCGAGAUGCCUGAAGGUCAGGACCGCUGUGCUGCAAUUCCAGGGCUUUCAAGUUUUGAAGACAGGCAAGAGUGACACCCCCCCCCCAAUCAGAGGGUUGCGGGAAUGGGGGUGUUUCAUUAAUAAUAUUAUUAUAGUGUUGUUGUGGUUGUUGUUAUUAAUAAUUGUUCAGACAUGCAGAAGUAAAUAUUUGACACAUGGCACUGACAAUUCAACCAAAUACAAAGUAUUUAUUCAAUUUCUGUGUGUGUGUGUGUGUGUGUGUGUGUGUGUGUGUGUGUGUGUGUGUGUGAGUGAGUGUAUGUGCUUGUGGAGUUUAACUACAGACACUGACAAAAACUGAUGCUAAUUAUCUGGGAAAAAUUCUCUAACAGCACUCAAGUUGUCAUUGUUUGUGUCAAACAAGUUGUGAAUUUGUUGUAACAUUAAAACAGGAGAUAAUUUACUCUGUUCUCAAAGUGAUGCUCGGAGCUCCAGUGGUUCCCUCUAUGGGUGACUUUCCGGAAGAUGUUAUAGCAGAAUCACGUUAAUAAUUCCAGGAUAUGGUUUUCUUCAUUGGUUGUUGCGUUAAAUCUUACCCAGAUUCAAUAGUGCUAUUUUGUUAUUGGCUAUUGUGUAGCCCCUUUCUUUUUUUUUUUUGGAUUGGCUAAGUGGCAGGCUCAACUAAGAACUCCAGGGGAGACACACUUGAUUUCUGCCGGUUCCAUAGUGAGAGCGGCACGGCCAGAGAAAUUUUGGGUGCUGCGGCAUAUUAAAUAUACUAUAAAUAGUUUUACCGCAUGAGAAAUACGAUGUGUGGUGGGAGUGUGUGACAAAAGACUGAAAUGAGUGACUGUCAUGCUCAAUGCGUGACACUUGAGAGCCCUGCAAUUCUGAGAAACAUUGAGGCAAAAUUGACUGCAAGACAUGAUGACAAGGGUUGCUGGAGUUCUGAAAGGGGCGCUUCAAGAAUGGAAAACAUCUGAAUCACCGCUUAGUCAGAGAUGGAGCACGGUGGUUGAUUACAUCAACGACUGUAACUGCACAAAUAGAAGUGCAUCAAAAUCCAAAUGGCUUGACCGCAGUAAGCCUCUGGCUUUACAGUACAUCUACCGUACAUCUACGGCAACUGCUUUCACAAGUUCAUCUGGACCUCCCACACCUGUUUCACUCUGCCAUUGUUUUUCACAUGAAGCCUAACGUUAGCUAUGACAAUUGAUAUUAGCUAAUGCUAUUUCAGCUGAUCUCUGCCAGACAGUUGUGAAAAAACUACGGCAGAAAGAAACUUUAACUUUUAAAAUACUGUGUUGCUGUUUGGGAGUUCCAGGUGAACUCAUGGAAGACAUUAUGCUAGCUGCAGUGAUGCCAGAGGUUUCUGAGUGGGCGGUUGGUCCAGAAGAGUGACAUUCUCUCCUUAGAUUCCUUAAACUGAAAAAAAAAAGACAAAAAACUUACUUUCGCUGUUCUAGCUACAUAAAUACCCUCCAUCAAACUAUGGAUGAUGUUGAAGGCACUAUGUAUUCAUGUCUUUCUACAGUUUUUUAUUUGGGAGCUGUUCAGUUUUGUUUAGAUGCUGAGCAUAUUAUAUCACUAUUGAAUAUUAUUGCAUUCACAUUUCACUUGGAUUCAUCCUGACUCACAGAGCUGAGCUAUAUUAUAAUUUGGUUAUGUCUUCCCUGCUUCCAAAAUCUGUAAACUUAUGUGGAUGACCAAAUAUCGUAAACAUUUUAAACCAAGCCUACAUCCCAUAUCCAUCAUUGCCACACCAAAAAUGAGACAUGUUAGCAACUUCCACCAAUUUUGCUCACACUCUGCAUAUGGAGGCCCCAUCUGACACAUAAGUUGGCUAGGCAGACGAGGAUCAGAGUGGUAAUGACUGUUGACGUUAAUUCACACCUUACUCUCAGCGGCCGUGGGCACAGCAGUGAAGAAACUAAGCGUGCUGUAAGAGGAGCCACAAGGAGGACAGCCACUCCCCCUGCCGCAUAAGAUGAUACAGAGAGAGUGUAGGUGCAAGAGAGUAGGGUACUUCAUGACAGACAAAGUUUUUUCUUAAGUGAUCUCAUUACACAACUCACACAGCACCUUCCUCCGCACAUGUACGGUUGAUAUGGAGCCUACACAAGCUGUGUCGUGUUAAUAGGGAACGGUGAUUUAUUUAGCUGGGAAGCAAAUACUAUUUCCAGAUCACUUCAAAUGGAAGGCUCCAAUGAUGUGCAUGUGUGAAGUAAAGUUCCACUGAUAUUUUCAUGUUACCAAAUCAAUGUAGUGAGGCUGUUGACUUUUUGUUGACUACUUUCAUUCGUGCAAACAGUAACACACUCCAUUCAUUUGUGUGUUAUUUUGAAUACCCUCAAGGCUUGCUAAGUGACAAAGAUGGCUAGCCACGUGGGUAAACCAAUUUCCGCAGAAGAUUGAGUACAUUUACGGCAUGAGCUUAUGGGAGACACUUGAGAUAAUUAAAAAAGCAUCUCAAAGCCAAUUGAACACAGGCUGCUGCAAUCAUGUGAGACACACACACACACACAAAGAAACGUACAAGACCACACACUUUAGGAGUAUGCAGAAGUGUGCCCACUACACACCCCAUUGCAAAUGAGUCAUGCAUCAGUAUAAAAGGAAGCUCAAUGUCAACCCCAGCACUGUUUCCUCCUAUCCAUUUCUCGUACUGUCUCCUGUGACAUUUUCUCAGACAACCCAGGAACACACAUCCAACCCACCCACACUCGAGCUUGAGUGUGUAAGUGAUUUACGGCAAAGCAAAAGUGCGAUUAAAGUAAUAAAGUGUGACAGUUUCAAAGAAAUAAAAUGUCUUUUAAAUGAAAGAAUGAAACCGGUAUUGUCCCUAGGGGAAUUUGCUUUGCGGCAAAGAGUCUACAGAAUGCCAUUCGAGCCAUCAUCAGACACAUAGCACUGCGGAGUUAUUUCCAAAUCUUAAUUUCCUAAUGAGGCCAGAUAAGAAGAAAACAAAGUCUAUGAACAUAAAAGUGGAUGACGACUGUAAAUACACAUUUUUGUGCAGUGUCUGUUUGAGAAUAAAGAGCUGUCACCCACUCUUAUUCACCCAGGCCGAAAAUGAGGCUUUGUAAAAUAAUUAUUUGGGUAUUACUUGUGCCUCCGCUCUUCUUUUCAGUCAUUCUAACAUAGAGACAGUGAUAUGUCCCCUGCCUUUCCACAAGCGAAGCUGGCAAUUCUGAAGGGGCUGAAACAAACCAGAAUGUAUCAUCCGUCAGAGAAAGCGUUAUUAAAAAAGUCUCACUCAAUUGAUUGUAAAACUUAGCUAUCAGUCACACUUCCAUUUUUCAAAGGAGGGUUAAACCUUUUGUUGACAUAUUUAUGAAAACUCUUUCUAAGCUUCAAUCUCUGGGUGGGUUCCCAUGGCAGUGGUUGACUGACACUGAGAGUGUUGCUAGGAAACGCAUAUUACGUGGUGCGCUGUAAUGUUUUGAGCACAAUAGCCCUGUAUAUUCUACUAAUGUUAAAACAAAAUGUUUUUUUUCUUCUCAGAUAGUUUUAUUUAUGUAAUGAAGCUCAGCGUAAGUUCUUAAUGGAAGACCUGUAAUUGCGUCUAUCAUCACUCCUAAUUGAUCAGCUGUUUCAUGGCAUUCACUUAUCAGCAGACAAUCGGAUUCAGCUGUUUCCUUGUUAGUUAAACCAAUCAGAUUCAGCCACGUAUCACAAGCCAAUCACAGCAUGACAUCCUGUUUUAAAU